CAGAAGUUGGCCACCGGAAGCCUCCACCUUGCACAUGGCAGCCAACCCUGCACUGGAUGCUACCUGUGGGCCAGCCCCAAAACCCGCCAGUGCCUUCCUCCUGGGCCCCUUCUGGCAAGCAGUGGAGUCCCAGGCUGUUCAGAGAAUCCAGUGACUUUCUACACCUCAAGUUUUAAUACAUAGAAUUAAAGCGUAUGAAGAUGGGGUAAUGCCAGAAACACUCCUUCAAAACUGAAACCCAUUUGUGAGAUCUGUUUCAGUUCCUACUGUAGACACUUCUGUUUUUUAUUAUUAAUUACUGAAUAUA